UACUCUCAAGUUGCUUUCGUGUGUUUGUGUUUUUGUAGAGAAACUAAAGAUGGCUGACAAAUCCCAGACUCAGAAACCUCAGCCAGAAAGCUGGCGAGGCCAAAGCCCAUGAUCAGAUGAGCAAGGACCAGAUGAUGGAUAAGGCAACCGGUGCUGUCAAUUCUGGGAAGCAAUCAUGUCAACAGUUUCAACCCUUUUUCCCCUACACAAUUAUUUUUUCUGCAGCCAAACAACUUUCAACUAAUUACUGGUCAGCAAAUGAAAUCCAAGGCAGAAGGAGCUACGGAAUCUGUCAAGAACGCAAUGGGCAUGAACAAAUGAAAAUUAUAAUCC